GUCUUGACCAAGCAGGAGCUCCCGGAACAAGAACAGCAGUUAAUAUCACACACAAGUUAUUAUUUCUUUCUGGGAUGCCUUAUAUUUUUAGUGCCAGUGAGAUCCUUCUCUUGUCCCUGUGUGCCUCUAAAAAUUUAAAGAGAAUCAAAGAAUGCAUAAUUUACAUCUGUCCCAGAGGUAACAGAGUGACUCAAUGGUAUCCAUGAAGGAAUGAUUUUAAAUUUCUUGUCUUAUGCAAGAGGUGAUUUUUAUGUGAAAACUGCAAGAACUGGCCUCAGGGAUCUUUUGGUAAUUAUCCCUCUAACAGCAGAGCGAGGUUCCAGCGGGAUUAUUGCUGAAAGCAGUAGUGGAUCAGCUAUGCCCUUGUGAAUCAUGGUGAAUCAUGGUUGCCACAACGGAGCACAUAGCAACGGAUGCCCUGCACAGAGCACUUCUCCCUUUAACACUCCUGAGAGCCCCAGUGGCGCCUGUGUGUCCCAAAUGGCAGCUCCUGUUUCUGUGGCUCAGGGAACAUCAUGGAAGAGGAAGAAGAAGAACCAAAAUACCAGGAAGUCUGCUGUGAAACAGUCUCUCCUAGAAAUGGCUGCACAGACAAGACCAAACAGUAUCAAUGGACAUGUUUACAGGGAAGGGGGCGUUUCUUGGGGUUCCAUCUCCAAACAAAGAACUAGAGGCAACUGCUGAGUGCUGGGAGGAGAAUUAGCCUCUCCCAGGGACGAACCCCCAUAUUGGUAUCCAAUACAGAGUGGUCAUCUUGAAACCAUGUGCACACCACAGACAAAAACAGACCCAGCAGGUUUAUUUGUAUCUAUUUUUGUAUAGACAUCUGUGCAUGUAUGUAACAAUAACCCAAGAAAAAGAGGCUGUUCACUGGAGAGUGGGGUGCCAAGGGAGAGGUUUGAGGGCAAGUAGCCAGGUGGAGCUGGAGGGAGGAAUGGGAGAUGGGGAAAGUAGUGUAAUUUUAUUACAACUGGAAACAUUUAAAAAGAAAAAUAAGUUUCCCUUUGUUACUAUGUCAGGACCUAACUUAUGAAUAUAUUGUUAGUUUUAUGAAAUUGAGAGCCUACUCUUUGGUGCAUAUUUACAACAGUUCUAUCCUCUUGAUAAAUGUAUUGACAUGUGGUGGCUUUAUCUCUUCUACCUAGCUUUGGACUGACAUGUACUGUCUGGGAUAUGAGUGGACAGAAGCUCAUGUUUCCCUUUCACUUGAUAGCUGAGUUUUAGCUUUUGACUCUCAGGGUUUGAAUAUCUUUGCUCAGUGCAGUUCUCAGAGACAAGAGCUAGGGAGACCUCAGUUUUCAUUCCAGUCAGUCACUUUGUGCCUUUUAUUUGGUGAAUGGAAGCAUUUACUUUUAACACUACUAUUGAGAUGGACUUGCUAUUUCCUGUGGGCUUUGUUUGUCUGUUUUGUUCUUGGUUAUUUGGAUAAUUGGUAGCUAUUUUUCUUCUUUCCCUUUUAGUAUUCGAGGUUUACUGCAUUGGAAAUUAUGGACUUCUACUCAAGGCUCUUCUAUCCACUUAUCCCUUUCAAAAACGUAGUCUUUCUUAUUCUGUUGUAUAUGAAACCAUCUUUCUUCUUUCUCUGUGAAUUUCUCUUUAAAUAUCUUCUUCAGUGCUGGCUCUUUUUUCAUAAAGAACCCUUUUGUGCUUGUUUCUUAAUAUUUUUAUUCUUUAAUAAUUUAAGGGAUUUCUUUUCUGUGUCUAAUAAUCUCUGUUGACAGAGCUUGAGAUAUAUUUUUCCAUGACUUCCUGACUCUUAGGAUUGCUGAUGGGAGAUCUUAUGAUAUUAUAAUGGAUUUCUCUUAUAGGUGAAUUGGUGUUUUCCUUAUAGUUUUGAGUAUUGUUUCUUUUUUUC
ensembl:lncRNA